CCCAGAUUGGAUCCUGCAUCAAGACUUGUUCUCUAUUAUCCCAGAGUGCAAGGCAUGGAAUAAUUAUCUUACACAAUAGCAAUGUUGAUUCUGAAUAUUAGGAAAAAUGGAAACAAUUGCUUAAGGAACUUGUGUAUUCUCCUUUGCUAGUUCAAGCAGAGACUGGACAGCCAUUGCUGUAUGUCAAAAAUGCUUCGGUUGAAUUUCUGUAAAUGGCUCUUCCAAAUCUGACUUCUGACUGAAACAUGAAGGAACCCUGAAGAAAGAUGUUCUAUUUUCACAGUUAUAUAUUUUGAAAUUUUUAAUUCAACUAGAAAACUACCGUAGGAGGUAGUUUGGCUUAGUACGUUUAUCUCUACAAUAUUGUGUUAUUUUCUCAAAGACAAGAAGUACCAACUGUAGAAACAGAUCUUGGCUGAUGUCAGCCCAUCAAAGAUUAGAUUAGAUUCCUGUUCUCAGGAAUAUACACAUGCACAGAGUUAAUACUUCAGCCCCCAACUCCCACUCCCCUUGCUAUAUUCAUCUGCAGGGGAAAUAAAACAGAAGACUUUUCUGUGCUCGGACUUUCUGUCUAUUACAAAGCAAUGUCAAUAAUCAUAUUUGCAUUGUAUGUAUUUGGUUUUCCUUCAAGAACUUCAGGUGAUAUAUUGUUAUACAUAAUUUUGAGUUAAACAGAAGAUCUUAAGCAAAUGAAUACAGUGAAAUGAUUACAUAUGUAUUUGUUUGAUAUCCGUGGAGGAAAGCUGGGAUACAAAUGGAAUAAAAAGUUCAUGGAUUAUCCCAUUUUAAUUUCAUAACAGCUUUGUGUGAGGUAGCUUUGGUUCAGAUGAAUAGAAUAGAAUAGAAUAGAAUAGAAUAGAAUAGAAUAGAAUAGAAUAGAAUAGAAUAGAAUAGAAUAGAAUAGAAUAGAAUAGAAUAGAACAGAACAGAACAGAACAGAACAGAACAGAAUAGAAUUUUUUAUUGGCCAAGUGUGAUUGGACACACAAGGAAUUUGUCUUGAUGCAUAUGCUCUCAGUGUACAUAAAAGAAAAGAUACGUUCAUCAAGAAUCAUAAGGUACAACACUUAAUGAUAAUCAUAGGGUACAAAUAAGCAAUCAGGAAACAAUAUCAAUAUAAAUCGUAAGGAUACAAGCAACAAAGUUACAGUCAUAAGUGGAAGGAGAUGGGUGAUGGGAACGAUGUGAAGAUGAGAAGAUUAAUAGUAGUGCAGACUUAGUAAAUAGUUUGUCAGUGUUGCGCGAAUUAUUUGUUUAGCAGAGCGAUGGUGUUCGGGAAAAAACUGUUCUUGUCUAGUUGUUCUGGUGUGCAGUGCUCUAUAGCAUCAUUUUGAGGGUAGGAGUUGAAACAGUUUAUGUCCAGGAUGUGAGGGGUCUGUAAAUAUUUUCACAGCCCCUUUUUUGACUCAUGCAGUAUACAGGUCCUCAAUGGAAGGCAGGUUGGUAGCCAUUGUUUUUUCUGCAGUUCUAAUUAUCCUCUUAAGUCUGUCUGUCUUGUUGAGUUGCAGAACCAAACCAGACAGUUAUAGAGGUGCAGAUGACAGACUCAAUAAUUCCUCUGUAGAACUGGAUCAGCAGCUCCAUUAUCCAUUAUUAUUCAUCCAAACUUUUGGAUGCUUCCAAACUUUCCAAGCAUCCAAACUUUUUUAUCCAUCCAAACCUAUUUUUCUAAUAAUAAUCUUUGUAUUUGAAAGAGAACCUAUUUUCUGAAAAUCAUAAUGCCUAUAUGUUAACACACACACACACACACACACACACACACACACACACACACACGAUGGCAGCAUGUUCCAGGUUCACCAAGAUGAGCGUGAAAGUAUGUAUAGUCAUUUGUGUCAGCUGGCCUUUAUAAGGGUACAAAGGAUUUCUGACAGUUCCCUCCCCUAUACUCAAUUUGAAACUUGUAAUAUGCAAGAAUAAAAAAGUUUCUAUAGCUCUGCUGGAUGCAAAUACAUUGCAGUACCCUUCAGCUGCUUUAUCCUUUGAGAAUAGUAUAUUCAUACGAAGGUCAGUUUUAAUUUCGUGUUUCUCUUUAGGCCUUCUAACUCCUGAUGCAUCCUGUGUUUCCCAGAGUCAGUCUGCCAGUUUUAUCAAUCUCUCCUGAUUGUGCAUUAGACAGCUGUUAGGAAGUUUCAGCGUUUCUGUCUGGCACCUGGCAUGCCCACAGAAGCAGAAUAGCUGUGAAUUUGGCGUUUAUUUAAAUGAAGAAGCAGGACCUGAUUUUAACAAAGGAGAAAUGUGAUGAAGAGACGAUCCAAAGUGUUUUCCUAUCUAUUACAGGGUUCAACUCGAUGAUGGAAGAACCUGGCAGCACCAUGUGGACCAAUUAAGAGAGCGAGCUACAACUAGUCUGCAGCCGAUUGCGAGAGAUGUACCGCGCCUGCCCCCGGAGAGAUCCCCAUUGUUUCUGAGGUCUGUUGCCGAUCCUCCGCCCACCAUAACAAACAACCCGCUGUUGGACUUAUCUGGAGAAGUUACUCCUGCUGAAUCCACGGUGGAAACCUCGCCUGACCCACCUACGGAUCAGGAAUCUGCGCCGCAAGCAGUUCCUACACCACGGCGAUCUGAGCGAGUGCGCAGGUGCCCUGCUUACUUGCAGGAUUACGCAUGCGUCAUCCAGGGGGGGAGGGGUGUUGCGUCGGCAUGUUGCCCUGACAAUGGAGCUGCCUCAUCCUAAUUGGUCACAUUAUUCCUUUUGUUUAAGUGGGAGUUUCUGCAGUUCCUGAUUGGUUAGAGAGAUUCUGAUAGCAGCUAUAUAAGAGCUAUCAGGCAUUUUCUUCUGUUAUUGUUGUUAUUGGGUUAUGUUCGUUACUCAAUAAAUGAUGUUCUCUGC